rnacentral:snRNA from 1 species
GGAUAUGAGGAUGACCUGGCUGUGACAUGUCACCCCAUUGAUCGCUAGGGUUGAUUUGGCUGAUUUGGCUGGCUAGAUGGGUAUCCCCUUCCUCCCUCAGGGCUCCAUGUGAGUGAGUCCUUCCCGAAGCUGCACACUUGGUCGAAGAGGACGACCAUCCCUGGUAAAGGAGGACCAUUUCUUCCCUCAAGGGUAUAGGAGUAGCUGUGCUUCCCUGCUAGGACCUCCAAACAAGCUCUCAAGACUCCAAAAAUCCAUGUUGUAGUAAGCACCUUUGCCUUAGAGAAGUAUAAUUCCUCUAGUUUUGAACCACCUUCAAUCUCU